UACGUAGGGUGCGAGCGUUAAUCGGAAUUACUGGGCGUAAAGCGUGCGUAGACGGUCAUGUAAGUCGGGUGUGAAAGCCCCGGGCUCAACCUGGGAAUUGCAUUCGAGACUGCACGGCUAGGAUGCGGAAGAGGGAAGCGGAAUUUCCGGUGUAGCGGUGAAAUGCGUAGAUAUCGGAAGGAACACCAGUGGCGAAAGCGGCUUCCUGGUCCAGCAUCGACGUUCAGGCACGAAAGCGUGGGGAGCAAACAGG
rnacentral:rRNA from 1 species